GAUGAACGCUGGCGGCGUGCUUAACACAUGCAAGUCGAACGAAGCAUUUAAGACAGAUUACUUCGGUUUGAAGUUUUUUAUGACGGAGAGGCGGACGAGUGAGUAACGCGUGGGUAACCUGCCUCAGACAGGGGGAUAGCAGCUGGAAACGGCUGGUAAUACCGCAUAAGCGCACAGUACCACAUGGUAAAGUGAGAAAAACACCGGUGGUAUGAGAUGGACCCGCGUCUGAUUAGCUGGUUGGCGGGGUAACGGCCCACCAAGGCGACGAUCAGUAGCCGACCUGAGAGGGUGACCGGCCACAUUGGGACUGAGACACGGCCCAGACUCCUACGGGAGGCAGCAGUGGGGAAUAUUGCACAAUGGAGGAAACUCUGAUGCAGCGACGCCGCGUGAGUGAAGAAGUAGUUCGCUAUGUAAAGCUCUAUCAGCAGGGAAGAUAGUGACGGUACCUGACUAAGAAGCUCCGGCUAAAUACGUGCCAGCCGCCGCAGUAA
rnacentral:rRNA from 1 species